GAUGAACGCUAGCGGCAGGCUUAACACAUGCAAGUCGAGGGCAUCGAGAGAGUAGCAAUACUUUUGUCGGCGACCGGCGGACGGGUGCGUAACGCGUAUGCAACCUACCUUAUACAGGGGGAUAACCUUUCGAAAGGGAGACUAAUACCGCAUAACAUUACUUUGAGGCAUCUUGAGGUAAUUAAAUCUUCGGAGGUAUAAGAUGGGCAUGCGUAGCAUUAGCUAGAUGGUGCGGUAACGGCGUACCAUGGCGACGAUGCUUAGGGGUUCUGAGAGGAAGGUCCCCCANACUGGUACUGAGAUACGGACCAGACUCCUACGGGAGGCAGCAGUGAGGAAUAUUGGUCAAUGGUC
rnacentral:rRNA from 1 species